AAUGCGAUGACUUGCCAGGAUCAAUCGUUCGAACGUGCAAGAGCUGAUCAUCGACGAAGGACAUACAAUUUCGAUCAAGUUCAGAUCAGCAUUUGUUACUCACCUUAAGAUGGAAUCUGCCCUCAGAGUACCGCGUACGGUCAGCGCGCGAUUCAUCUCCUCUAUUGCGUAGAACCGGCUUACCCAACAGAUAACAGGAAUAUCAACUCGAAUUGAUUAAACUAGGGGUCCUAGCAGCAGCAGAUGAUUCUCUGGUCAAACAGUAAGCACCACUGCACUCACUCUUGCUUAGUUAUCGACGAUGGUCGACCAUCUCAUCGUGAAUGUGAACGGCUUCUCCUGCUUCCUACCAUAAGUUCAGCAGGGCCAUACAACUCACACCUCAGCUGUAGCUUCUGCUGUUGUUGCUGUCCGUUAGCCGUUGGGAAUGACGGCGUUCCCAGACAACAUACUGCCAAUGUCGUCUGCUAUGCAUCAUCGAGCGGCGGCGGCGGCGGCGGCGGUGAUGUUCAGCUCUGCUAUAGCAACCUGCCUAUCUUUUAUUUUAUUCUUCCAUAGAGACCAACCUAUUUAUUAACUACUUUCUUACUAGGCGCAAUUUGUCAAUAUUCUGAGGCGUGCUCUUUGUUAUGCUUAGUAUCAAUGAGUAAAGCGGAAACGACUGUCGCGCCAGUGGCAGACCAUACGAGCAUUGGAGAAACCGGCUGGUUGAAUAAAGGCUGUUUAUUAUAGACGAUAACAAAACAUCAACCUGUAGAUGUUAUUAUUUAAAGUGGGUACAGAACAAACACAAAAACGGUAUUCAAACCACUCCUGAAAGUUAAUUUAAUCGUGAUGUUUAUUUUUCACCACGGGGGCGAAGCUUAAACUCCGAGCAUUUUGAAAUAAUUAGAUGUAUUCCAGUGAACACGUUGUUACUCAAUUAUUCGUCGGCUCAUUGAUAUGGAUUUCUUUUUGGGGCCAUAAUAUCCAUAAAACCAUAGGCAUUAUCUCAGUGUAAAAAGCCCUAAAUCAUACUAUAUAGCGCAAAUAUUAGUUUGCAACGUUUAGAUGUUAACUGCGAUCGUUACGGGCUAAUUUAAGUGAAUAUAAAAAUGGCAAUACAAAAUAUUCAUUAUAAUCCAAUAUACGGUCCGUAUUUUCGCAGAAUAAACAGAUACUGAUUUGGCAAAUUUAGAUGGUGCGACUAAACUACAGAAAAAUGAAAAUUCUGAGACGAUGCAAAGAAACCUGUGAAAAAAAAAAGUAAAACUAUAAGAAAUCUGUUAAAUAGUAAAGAAUUUUUUUUUCGGUAUUUUAUUUAGUAGCAUGCAACACAUUAGUUCAUGUAUAGGUUCAUACCUUUGUUUACUAUUAUACUACGCAUUAGUAACGAAACAUGGUCUAUUUAAACUGAUACAAAUAGUACUGGCUUAAUCUGCAAUUUACCUACAAUGCUAAUUUUUCCUCAUCAUUAUUAUUGUCAUUAUUAACCCCGUCGUUCCACUAUUAUUUAAAUGUAGAUUUAUGUUGUAGCGUCUUAUCAACUAUCUGUAAAUAUAACUGUCAGAAAGACAUCAAAAGUAGUCAUAAGGAUUUGUUGGCACAUCGCUUAUUUAUUAUUAUUUGUCUUUCUGUAAGUUUGAGGGCACAGAAAUAUAAUUUAUAAGUUUUAUCAUAUCCGUCAACGUCAACCGCUUGUUCUUUCUUUUUUUGUUGUAUGAUACAAUGCCGUCGUUAUUAUCGUUCAGUUUCUAUAAACGUGAACUAGAUUUAAGAGAGGUUACCCUUUGUCUAGUUUCGUUUUGUCUGUCGCAAGAUAAAAAUUAGUUAAUUUUGACAUUUCAUACUGCAUUGGAAAUAAUCGGCAACAACCAUAGUCAAUUUUACAACAUCGUUCUAGUGAUCAGAGCGUAUAAAACGGUUAUUUAAAGUCUCGAUUGGUAUGUGCCCCGGGGAAAAAUCAUAAUAAUACUUUUGACACGUUACUACUAGUAUUAGUUCACAAUUGCAUAUUGUUGUUUGCGUUGUUGUUCGUUAUUCAUUAGUUUCUAAUAAUUUGCCGGAGAUGUAUUAAUGCGAUAAGCCUUCAGAAUACGCCAAUGAAGUUAAACUGGCAAAACACGUUUGUCCGUUACAUAUAGAAGGUUAUUUAGUAAUUGCAGGCAGCGACUAACUGUUAUCUUCUGAGACAAGCCAGCGCCAUGGCCACGAAGCCUGAGCUUGAAGUGCCUCACCCUUAUUCAAUACUGCUUGUAUUGUGUAUGUGUUGCGUGCACGUGCAGAAGCACACUUCUGUACAAAAUUAAUUUUGACACCCGAAUUUCCGAGUACGAUCGAAUGAUCUAAAGGGUUCGCCAGUAGAUACGAAAUACAUAAUACAGUGCUGUAUUUUUGAUUUUAAUGAACUCCGCUGGCGGCAGGCAUUAUCUGCUCAGUUAAGCGUCUCUGGCUAGAGUUUAUU
rnacentral:lncRNA from 1 species